AGGUACUAAAUAUAAACCACAAUAUAAUGGCGGCAUACAUUUUAUUAAAGGAACUUGUAAAUUAACCGACAACACACGUUAAAAUCAACUUUAUCAAAAUAGCUGAUAUACCUCCGUCAAAGAAUUAAUUUAACUUAAAAAUUCUAAAAAAAUAUUCAUUUAAUAAAUCAGGUCUAGGUGUCGCCCAAGAUAAAGACUUUAUGAGUUACACUAAAGAACAACUUAAGGACGAUUUCAUUUAAAAAUAAUUCAGAAAAAGAAUUUAUAAGUAAUUCAUAGUAAAAAUCUAUUAAUGAAAAAACAACCAUGUGC
rnacentral:rRNA from 1 species